rnacentral:rRNA from 1 species
CACGUAGGGGGCGAGCGUUGUCCGGAUUUAUUGGGCGUAAAGAGCUCGUAGGCGGUUUCGUAAGUCGGAUGUGAAAACUCCAGGCUCAACUUGGAGACGCCAUUCGAUACUGCGAUGACUUGAGUCCGGUAGGGGAGGAGUGGAAUUCCGUGGUGUAGCGGUGAAAUGCGCAGAUAUCAGGAAGAACACCCGUGGCGAAGGCGGCUCUCUGGGACGGUACUGACGCUGAGACGCGAAAGCGUGGGGGAGCGAACAGG